rfam:Aedes albopictus isolate Foshan contig43406, whole genome shotgun sequence.
CUUCUCGUGGCGUAGCGGCAACGCACCUGUCUAGUGAGUAGGAGUCGUGAGUUCGAGUCUCACCGAGAGGA